AAGAUUUUAAGUUAAUAUAAACUAUUAACCUUCAAAGUUAAAAAUGCUUUAAAGGUAAGUCUUA